rnacentral:rRNA from 1 species
CACGUAGGUGGCAAGCGUUGUCCGGAUUUACUGGGCGUAAAGGAUGCGUAGGCGGACAUUUAAGUCAGAUGUGAAAUACCCGAGCUUAACUUGGGUGCUGCACUUGAAACUGGGUGUCUAGAGUGCAGGAGAGGUAAGUGGAAUUCCUAGUGUAGCGGUGAAAUGCGUAGAGAUUAGGAAGAACACCAGUGGCGAAGGCGACUUACUGGACUGUAACUGACGCUGAGGCAUGAAAGCGUGGGGAGCAAACAGG